UACGUAGGCAGCAAGCGUUGUUCGGAAUUACUGGGCGUAAAGAGUGUGUAGGCGGUGCUCUAAGUCUGUCGUGAAAUCUCCCGGCUUAACUGGGAGGGUGCGGCGGAAACUGGAAUGCUAGAGGGUGGGAGAGGAAAGUGGAAUUCCUGGUGUAGCGGUGAAAUGCGUAGAUAUCAGGAGGAACACCUGCGGUGUAGACAGCUUUCUGGACCACUUCUGACGCUGAGACACGAAAGCGUGGGUAGCAAACAGG
rnacentral:rRNA from 1 species